rnacentral:rRNA from 1 species
UACGUAGGAGGCGAGCGUUGUCCGGAGUUACUGGGCGUAAAGGGUGCGCAGGCGGUGGCCCGCGUGGGCGGUGAAAGCUCCUGGCUCAACUGGGAGAGGGCCGUCCAGACGGGGUCACUUGAGGGGCGGAGAGGGGCGUGGAAUCCCGGGUGGAGCGGUGAAAUGCGUAGAGAUCGGGAGGAACACCAGUGGCGAAGGCGGCUACCUGGACCAGCACUGACACUGAGGCACGAAAGCGUGGGGAGCAAACAGG